GGAUCUGUAGCUCGAAGGCAGAGCCGCCGUCUUUUAAGCGGCACGGUGCGGGUUCGAGUCCCGCCAGAUCCACCA
rnacentral:tRNA from 1 species